CCUACGGGUGGCAGCAGUGAGGAAUAUUGGUCAAUGGGCGGGAGCCUGAACCAGCCAAGCCGCGUGAGGGAAGAAGGUACAGCGUAUCGUAAACCUCUUUUGUCAGGGAACAAAGGCGGGGACUAGUCCCCGGCUGAGGGUACCUGACGAAAAAGCAUCGGCUAACUCCGUGCCAGCAGCCGCGGUAAUACGGGGGAUGCGAGCGUUAUCCGGAUUUAUUGGGUUUAAAGGGUGCGCAGGCGGCCUGUUAAGUCAGCGGGAAAAGCCCGGGGCUCAACCCCGGCGCGCCGUUGAAACUGGCGGGCUGGAGUUGGAGAGAAGUACGCGGAAUGCGCGGUGUAGCGGUGAAAUGCUUAGAUAUCGCGCAGAACCCCGAUUGCGAAGGCAGCGUACCGGCUCCACACUGACGCUGAGGCACGAAAGCGUGGGUAUCGAACAGGAUUAGAUACCCUAGUAGUC
rnacentral:rRNA from 1 species